rnacentral:rRNA from 1 species
UACGAAGGGUGCAAGCGUUACUCGGAAUUACUGGGCGUAAAGCGUGUGUAGGCGGCUAUGUAAGUCGGAUGUGAAAGCCCCAGGCUCAACCUGGGAAGUGCACUCGAUACUGCGUAGCUUGAGUAUCGGAGAGGUUGGUGGAAUUCUCGGUGUAGAGGUGAAAUUCGUAGAUAUCGAGAGGAACACCGGUGGCGAAGGCGGCCAACUGGACGAAUACUGACGCUGAGACACGAAAGCGUGGGGAGCAAACAGG